rnacentral:rRNA from 1 species
AUUGAACGCUGGCGGAAUGCUUUACACAUGCAAGUCGAACGGCAGCACGGACUUCGGUCUGGUGGCGAGUGGCGAACGGGUGAGUAAUGUAUCGGAACGUGCCCAGUCGUGGGGGAUAACGUAGUGAAAAUUACGCUAAUACCGCAUACGAUCUAUGGAUGAAAGCGGGGGAUCGCAAGACCUCGCGCGAUUGGAGCGGCUGAUAUCAGAUUAAGGAGUUGGUGGGGUAAAGGCCCACCAAGCCAACGAUCUGUAGCUGGUCUGAGUGGACGACCAGCAACACUGGAACUGAGACACGGUCCAGACUCCUACGGGAGGCAGCAGUGGGGAAUUUUGGACAAUGGGCGAAAGCCUGAUCCAGCCAUUCCGCGUGCAGGAUGAAGGCCCUCGGGUUGUAAACUGCUUUUGUACAGAACGAAAAGGUUUCUACUAAUACUAGGAGCUCAUGACGGUACUGUAAGAAUAAGCACCGGCUAACUACGUGCCAGCCGCCGCGGUAA